rnacentral:lncRNA from 1 species
UUUUAAGAUUUUCUGACUGAUGAAUGGAAUUGUGAUAAAAUUUUGACAACUGUCUGAUAGCUCUAAUGGAACUUUCCAAUUAUCAGAAAUUGGUUGCUUAUAAAAUCAUAAGUUUUGGAUGAAUUACCAUAAAUGCGUCCCCUAUCUGAUCUCCCAAUGUACUUUCUUACACCCUGAACAUCUUGCCUGAUUUUCAGUUUAUCAGUUCAUUCCUUUCCAUGGGUAUUUCUGGCUACAUAUAAAAAAGAUAACUUGGUAUGGAUUUAAGUGCCAGGUAUUUCAAUCUGUGGCCUUGUUUUGUGAGGCUGAUGAGUGAUAGAUGAGAAAAAAAAAAGGGUAACCAACGUGUUGUAUGUCAUCACUGUCUGUAUAGUUUGUGAUGUCUGUAUAGUUUGUGAUGUCACUGUGGACAGGUCACAGGUUUUUGUUUUUGUUUUGUUUUGUGAUACAUGAGAUGUCCCAGUACAUCUGCAGUGGUUGGUUGAUCUCGAAGAGGCUUGCAUACUGGUGGAGUUGUGUGUGAAUCCCUUACACACAUGGCACUCCGUCUGAGCAUAAGUAGCGAAAUGAGUUUGUUUGGAAAUUUGAUAAAUGGAUGAACAGAUGGCAGUUUCCUUGCUUUCCUAACCCUGGGCUUUUGCAUACAUCUUGACUACACAUUGUGAACUUCAGCUCUUGUUGAUAUCCUUCAUGAUUUGCGUUAAGGAUUGCUGUUCAGGCACUGGCAGGUAAAUGCGGCAGUGUAGGCCAUCCCAUUCCAUGCAAGUCUUGCAAGAAAGGCUUUUCCCCCACUGCUGUGCAUCAUCUGCCAAAAGAAACUCCCAAGACUUUGGAAGUUAGACUCAGCGCGUGACGUGACGGGAAACAGAUGGCAAACUUCACAGAUUUCAGGUUUGGGCUAUGCUGGGCAGCAAAUUUCAUUUUUUAAGCGUAAUUUCUUUGGGAGGUGUGUACCAGCAGCCUUACAGGAAAAAAAAAUAAUUUGUGGAUUUUUAGUCUUCAGAGUAAAAAUUCUAACAUGAAGAAAAGAGGUAGUGAUGUGAACUAAACUUCCCGCAGCACAUUCUUCUCUGGCAGAAGCUGUAUUUUUGCAGAUAGGCGACUUUGUGGAGAUAAAGACAUUGAUCUCAGGAAAAAAGUGAGUAUGUUUGCAUCGGUUUUUUCAGAGGGUGAGAUAUGUUCAUGGGAAGGGCUUUACAGUGAUGCUGCUCCUGUUGGGGCAGUGGUACAAGAAAGAGAGUGCCCAGAAAUUCAAGGU